CCUAGCGGCUGAACCAGCAACUUGGAAGAAUGGAAGACGCAGGUCGCAUGUAGUAAUUAGNCUCCAGUAGUGACUCCGUUACAUUAAGUUCUAGGUAAAUAUUUGAUAAUGACAUUAUUUAUCUAUAAGUCCUGACCAAGUCUCGUGCCAGCAGUCGCGGUAACACGUGGAAGNCAAGUGUUAUUCAUCUUUAUUUGGUUUAAAGGGUACCUAGACAGUUAAUCAAGCACUUAGUCGGGACUAAUUAACUAGAGUUUAUANAANAAGGCUAGAACGGUGCAGUGGAAGAGAUGAAAUUCAUUGAUACACCUUAGAUACUGACAAGGGCGAAAGCGACCUUUUAUGUAAACUGACGUUGAGGGACGAAGGCUUAUGUAAUUAAAGGAUUAGAUACCCAAGUAGUCUUAGCAGACAAUGAUGAGUGUCAUAUAUAAGUAUAGNUWAUUUAUGUAUAANUGAAAGUGUAAGCACUCCACCUUAAGAGUAACAUGGCAACAUAGGAACUGAAAUCAUUAGACCGUUUCUGAAACCAGUAGUGAAGUAUGUUGNUUAAUUUGAUGACCCACAAAGAACCUUACCACAAUUUGAAUAGAUUUUUUAAAUAAAAGAUUUACAGGAGUUGCACGGCUGUCUUCAGUUGAUAUCGUGAGAUUUUGGUUAGUUCCAUUUAAUCAACGUAAACCUUACUUUAAUUUUUUAAUAGAGUUGUUCGCCGAUAUAUUGGUAAAGAUAACAGGGACUAAGCUAGUCGUCAUGACCUAAAUAUNGGGGGC
rnacentral:rRNA from 1 species